CACCUGUAAAUGGGGGUGGGGUGAUGGCACUCAGCUGGAUGUAGGGAGGCUCCGUGGGCCAAGGGGGACCCAGACCCUGCACGAAGGGAGGACGGCGCCCUCACGGGGGUAGGCAGGGGACCCACAGGGGCACUCACCCAGCCCCAGCAGCAGGAGUAGGAAGGAGGCCAGCACUACCCGGCGGUUCUUCUGGAUCAAAGGGUGUUGCGUCCAGCUGGGGGGCAGGACAGCAGGAUGAGUGGGAGAAGUGACAAGAGCCCCACCCUCUCCCAUCACUCUUCCCCACCCAGAGGACCAAGGGGGAAAGCCAGGCCUGCCUGUUCUGGGUCACAGACUGCAGGUGGCUUAAGCAGGGCAGGCUCUCACCUGCAGCAGGCAUGGUAGGAUCGCUGGGUGCUGUUGCUGAUGGUGCUGAAGGACCACUGGGAGCUGCGGAUGGACGUUCGGCUGGAAUCCCUGCUGGCCAGGUGGGCCCAGUGAGAGGCAGGGCAAGUGAUGAAGGGGUCAUAAUGACGUGGUGGGGGUUGGUACAGGGAUUAGGAUGGGUGUCCCUGCGGAAGAGGGGGCACUGAGAGGGGACAAAGUGAGGAGGAUUCAAGGGCUGGGGUCUCUGCAGGACCGAGGAUGGAAAAAACCCUGCAGAUUCGAGCUAGGGAUUCCUGCAGGACAGAUGACCUGGGGGAAGGUAGGGGCUAGACCAGGCUAGGGGUUUUCUGCAGGAGAAAGAGCCUGGUGGGGGUGUGAGGGGGGGGUGAGGCUGGCACUGGGGUAGGGUGACCCUGCAGGACAGGGGAGCCCAUGAGGGGCGUGGGGAUCAGGCUAGGAAUCCUUGUGGGACAGGAUGUGUCAGAGCUGAGUAGUGUGAGGUGGGAAACUGGCCAGGGACCUUGGGGAAAGGAGCCGGGAGCAGGGUUAGAGGCGUAGGCCGGGUCCCCACCUGGCCCUGACCUGAUGCUGACUCCCCCAUCCGGCUCCGGAGAGGCUUGGGCUGCAUCCUCAUCAUUCUCCAGGUUCUAUUCCAGAACACAGGGCUCAGAGGGGUUACUGGGCCCAGGCCCUUCCUCCUCCCUUCUCAGGGAGAGGAGAGCAAGCCCACACAGCUGUUUGCCUGGCCGCUUGACAGCUGCUCACCUGGCCCUCCACCCUCCCCGCCAAACGGGUUUGAUGAUUCACAGAAACUGAAACCCAGGUAGGAGGUGGAGGUGGGGGGGGGUGCUGGUUGAGGGCUCCCAGCAUGGUCCCAGGGCCAGGAGCGCCCCCAAGUUUGGGAGUCAGGGUGGAGCUUUCAGAACGGUAUUUCAGGGGCCCAGUAUGGAGGCUCCGGAUUUGUCGUGCCACAGGGCAAAAGUCCUGGUUUUCAGGUUUGGGGCGCAGGAAUCUGAUACAGGGCUCGAAUAAAAGGAUCUUGGCGGAAGUCCCUCAGGGAGAUUGGAGGUUCCCAGUUUAGUGGGAGUCAAGGCAUGGGUAAGGACUCAUCAGGUCUGUGUCUUGGGCUUGGAGGGGCACCCCAGGCCCGAGAUGGAGCGUUGCGCGUCCCAGCCUGCGCCUCGAGUGCCAAGGAGACUCCUAGGACCAGACUGUGUUCCCACCUCGACUCACCGCGGCUCUGCACCGGUUGGGUAUUCUCACCAUAGCAGGUGUGGACUCUGAGGCUCAGAAAGCUUAUGUGGCUUCCACUCCUCCGAUCCAGUCUCCACUCAGCAGCCAAAGUGAUCUUUUAAAAUAUAUCUCACCUUUUUCUCUGUGUAUUACUCUUAAGGAAAAAAAUGUUUUGUUUUGUUUUUAAAGUAUGCUGCUAAGUUCAGCAGUUCACUCCUCUGUAUGAAACUGUCUCUUGGUUUUCCAUUGUGUUUAGAAUAAUAUCUGAGCUCUUUUUGACUAAGGCCUACAAAGCUGUGAAUGAUCUGUUCCCCGCCUACAUCUUCAAUCUCCUCAAGCCCCCUCUGCCCCUCUUUCACCUACCCAGCCACACAGGCCAAACUCGUUGUCACCUCAGGGCCUUUGCACAUGCUGUUCCCUAUGCCUGGAAAGCACUUAACCUUGCUCUUUCACAACUGGGUCCUUUCAUCAUCUGCAUCCCUGCUGGAAAGUCAGGUGUCAGAGAUGCCAUCCGUGAUGAUGCAAUCUAAAGUCAGUAUCACGUUACACGGCACUUAUCCGAGGGUAACUUAUGUUACACUGUUUUAUUCACCAGCAUGUCCACGGUGCCUGGCCAGUGUUUGGCCCUGAGUAGAUGCUCGUUAAAUAUUUGUGGAUGAAAUGAAUGAAUGCUUUGCCCAAAUCCCCAGUGCUUACAGGUGGUAGAACUGGGGUUGGAACCCAAGCUCCCCUGGUUCCAGGGAUGCUCUUCCCCCACCCACCACACUUCACUGUAUGACCUCAUAGGCAGAGUUGACUCUUUCCUCCUCCUCGGUUUGUGACGCGUCGCCACUGUAAACAAGGCCCCUCUCGGUGUGCUCAGGCAGCUUCCUUGAAUCCUGUCUGGCUCUCUUCUAUACAUGGCUUGGCUCCUAUAUGGAUGCUUGAAACUUACAAACAUGCUGUCGUGUAUAAGACUCAUCCUGUUUACGGUUUUACACUCAACACUAAUGUUUUCCACAUGCAUCUCAUUUGUUACUUCUGCUAGUUGCAUGCAAUAUGCCACGCUGAGCAUCCAGUACUCUUAGUAUCCCCCGCACCCUUCAGUGAUGCACCCCUUAGCUUGGCCUCAGUGCCCCUGUCACAUAUGUCACUGCUGCGAACACCUGUCUUCAACUGUCUCCUUAUGGACUGUGGGAGAAUUCUCCUCGAAGUAGGACUUCCAGGCCACAGGGUACACGCACCCUCGGCUUCCCAAAGCACCGACGAUGCUCUCCCGGGUGGCUGUUGGAACUCCCACACUUACCGCGAGGGUUCUGGUUUUCCGUUAGCACUUGGCUUUCCAGUUUUCUGAUGCUUGCUAAUCUGACGAAUCUGAAGUGGUUCCUAACUUCCAUCUGGGUUCCCUUGAUGACUAGGGAAUUUGAAUAGCUCUUCAUGCACUUGGCAGCCAUGGUGGUUCCCUCUUCUGUGAAUUGUCUCUUUGGGGAGCCUUUGUCUAUCUUUUCUAUCGGGUUUCUAGCCUUCUUUCUACUGAUUUGCAUGUCUACACACAGCUAAGUAUCAGUGCUUUGGUGUUGCACAUAUCCCUUCUCUUUGUCUCCUUACUUUGUCCGAGUUUCCCUUCGUUAACAAUGCUCGGAGUCCUGGGGUGGAGUGCAGGCUUGGGCCCACGUCCCACGGGGGUGUUCUCCGUGAGCGCCGCCUUGGCUCCCGCCGGACCCCCCACCGAUGGAUGAUGGGGCUCUGGAUGCCAGCACUGCCCUGGAGUGGCUCCGGGAUGGGCCUGCUACUUCCUCUCCCACACCCCAGCACUCUCGCUCAAAGACCUGCAGGGGAUGCCCCAAGAACCCUCCCCCGGACUCAGGUGAGAAACCUGCUGAAAUGGAAUACUGAGUCCAAAGACCCUCUGCUGCAGGCCUCCCCAGCAUGGUUUCAGCCCUAACUGCGUCGCCAGCUUGCAAAACAAGCUUGCCUUGGCUGUUUGGGCUGCCCCGUCCCCCCGCCCAUCGCAACCUGUGCCUUUUUCAAACGAGGCUGCCAGGGGAUCCACACCCCUGCCACCCUCCACUUGAAUUCCAGUUCUCUCCACGUUUCUAUUUGAGGACUUCUCUAAAGCCAGUGGUGUCAAAGGACAAGGUCCUAAGACUUUCCACGAACAGCUAACCCUUCUGUGUCUCCCACUUUCUCAUCCUUCUACUUCUGCUUUUUGCGUUGCAGAGCCCCUCCUACAAGUAUGAGAAGAAAAGAAAGAAAAGUGAAAGAAAGAAAAAAGAGAGAGAGAAAUACCACCGGCCCAGGGUAGAGAGGCCCACGGACAGGUUCCUGGCGGACCCAGAGUGAGGACGGCUGCUCAGAACCCGUGUCUCCAGUCGCAUUGGAAACGCCCCGGCAGCAACACGCAGGGGGAAGACUCUGGCAGCGACCACAGCAGACCCUUGGCCCAACGGCAAAUCCCCCAAGGAUGGAUUGGGUCCACGGGAUGCGGACUAGGUUAUAGGAAAGUGGUGCUAAAUAUCUCACUGUGUUCCCAGCUUCCAUCGAGGGCAGGACCAGACCAGAAACUGUGUAAACUUCCGAGAACGUGGCCUUGCUUGGCGUGUUCAUGAGUCGUUUGACCCACGAUAUACGUGGGACUAAACCCUUGACUCAUGAUUUUCUACAGCAUAUCACUAAUCAGCAAAAUAAAGAACAAGAGUUUUCAGGCCA